rnacentral:rRNA from 1 species
AUGAAUGCUGGCGGCGUGCCUAAUACAUGCAAGUCGAGCGGUAACAGGGUUUCACCGUGUUCUUGACACUCCGGGCUUAAGCGGGAGGUUAGAUUCGAGGACACCGUGAAGCUGCUGACGAGCGGCGGACGGCUGAGUAACGCGUGGGAACAUACCCCAAACUGAGGGAUAACGCACCGAAAGGUGUGCUAAUACCGCAUAUGAUCUUCGGAUUAAAGCUUCGGCGGUUUGGGAAUGGCCUGCGUACGAUUAGAUAGUUGGUGAGGUAAUGGCUCGCCAAGUCGACGAUCGUUAGAUGGUUUGAGAGGAUGAUCAUCCAGACUGGGACUGAGACACGGCCCAGACUCCUACGGGAGGCAGCAGUAGGGAAUCUUUCACAAUGGGCGAAAGCCUGAUGGAAGCAACGCCGCGUGCAGGAUGAAGGCCUUCGGGUUGUAAACUGCUUUUAUAAGCGAGAAAUAUGAUGGUAAGGUAUGAAUAAGGACCGGCUAACUACGUGCCAGCAGCGGC